rnacentral:rRNA from 1 species
UACGGGGGGGGGCAAGCGUUGUUCGGAAUUACUGGGCGUAAAGGGCUCGUAGGUGGCCAACUAAGUCGGAUGUGAAAUCCCCAGGCUUAACCUGGGAACUGCAUCCGAUACUGGAUGGCUUGAAUCCGGGAGAGGGAUGCGGAAUUCCAGGUGUAGCGGUGAAAUGCGUAGAUAUCUGGAGGAACACCGGUGGCGAAGGCGGCAUCCUGGACCGGCAUUGACGCUGAGGAGCGAAAGCCAGGGGAGCAAACGGG